rnacentral:lncRNA from 1 species
AAUCACCCAAAUCCCCAUCCAGUGUGGCCAAACCAAACCCUGCCGUCCUGUCCAGCAUUGGGCUCAUGGUGAAACUGCCUGGGCUCCAGAGGGUUCAGACAGCCCCACUCCUUCAGCCCUAAGCUUCUCCAGCACAUGUCCUGUGAUCCUGGCAUCCCCAACACUUUUAGGUCUCUACCACAGCUUAAGCUUCUCUCUGGGGACCUCGACACUGCACACGGUGCCUGACCUCAGCUGCUCUCCACCACUCCUUCCUUCUUGUGUCUUUCACACUUUCAAGACCAACAGCACACAGACAGAGCCACCAUUUAGAGGUGCAGCCUCGCCACCAUGCACCACAGCUCUCUGAGCUUGUGUGUGCUGACCGUGAGGAGACAUUUUCCUGACGUCCCAGUGCAGAUGUCC